AUAUUGCGCAUUGGAGGGAACUCUGACGCAGCGACGCCGCGUUAGCGAUGAUGGUCUUCGGAUCGUAAAGCUCUGUCCUUGGGGAGGAAGUUUUUCGGACUUGACGGUACCUACGGAGAAAGCCCCGUCUAACGACGUCCCGGCAGCCGCGGUAAUACGUAGGGGGCAAGCGUUGUCCGGAAUUAUUGGGCGUAAAGGGUGCGUAGGCGGCCUUUUAAGUCAGAUGUGAAAGCCCACGGCUUAACCGUGGGACUGCAUUUGAAACUGGAGGGCUUGAGUAUCGGAGAGGGUAGUGGAAUUCCCAGUGUAGCGGUGGAAUGCGUAGAUAUUGGGAGGAACACCAGUGGCGAAGGCGACUACCUGGACGAAAACUGACGCUGAGGCACGAAAGCUAGGGGAGCAAAC
rnacentral:rRNA from 1 species